rnacentral:lncRNA from 1 species
UUAAAGAAUAGCUGAGGUGUGGUGGCUACGAGGAAUUCAGCGGGGUUCUGACAGAAUGGAUCAAAUUAGGACUCACCUUCGGGUGUAUCAACUUAUAAAUUGUAUCUUAAAGCUUCCGUACAAUGCAAAUGGUUACGUCACUCUCACGUGACGGCCAGCAUGCCCUCCUUCGGGACAGGAUGUGUCAGUUGGUAUCAAAGCAUGGUUGCAAUCUUGGACAUCUUGAGAAGUUUCUAGUGAAUUAUGUCAGAACUACACCGCCUCAUAGCAAACCACGUAGUUAGAGGAACUUAGUCUCCCUGAUUUAGCGGUUUAGAGGAAACUAUUAUUAUGGUGAUUCAGUAUAUUAUCAAAAUGGAUAUUUUAAGACGGGUUAUGAGUCGAAUUUGAAUCACCUUAUGAAAUGAUGAACCUGAGGGAGCGAAGUAACGGUUUAACCAUUUGGAAAAGAUGUUUCAGAUUAUGCAAGUCAAAUGAAUCUUCCUUCUGACAGGGGGUCGAGACGACUACCUGGUUUUGGGUAUGAAUUUGUAUCCUGGUGGAAACAGGAUUGUUAAUUGUUGUCACCAGAGGAAUCAGCCGAUUUAAAAUUGUUUAAGGACUUGUUUAAGGAAAAGUUUAUCCCUCCGGCAUUUAUCGAUGGUAGUAAGCAAGAGUUUGCAAAUGUGAAUCAAGGAAGUUGACGAUAAAUGAAUAUUAUAGAAAGUUUUCAGACUUGCCUCGUUCCAUCCAGAUAUUGUUGUUAAUUUGAUGGAGGUGUUAUGUUGUUUUAAGCUAGGUGACAAAAAGAGAAGUGGUAUUUUGGGUGACCACUAUCCAUUAUACUUCUUACCAGGAAUAUACGAGAUGCUGUUGAGUCUUGAGGACUCUGAGAACAUGAGCAACGAGAAUAAAGAAGAAUAAGAAAUGAAUGGGAAUUAAAAGAAGACGAUAAAGUUAAUGAUUCGUCAUAUCAAGGAUAUAGAAAGAUUC